rnacentral:rRNA from 1 species
GGUUGAUCCUGCCGGCGGCCACCGCUAUUGGAAUUCGAUUAAGACAUGCGAGUCGAGAGUCUUAGGGACUCGGCGGACGGCUCAGUAACACGUGGAUAAUCUGCCCUUGGGAGGGGGAUAACCUCGAGAAAUUGAGAAUAAUACCCCAUAGACCAUAGGUGCUGGAACUCGCCCUAUGGUUUAAAGCUCCGGCGCCCAAGGAUGAGUCUGCGGCCUAUCAGGUUGUGGUGGGUGUAACGGACCCACUAGCCAGUGACGGGUACGGGCGUUGGGAGACGUUGCCCGGAGAUGGAUUCUGAGACACGAAUCCAGGCCCUACGGGGCGCAGCAGUUACGAAAACUUCACAAUGUGGGAAACCACGAUGAGGGAAUUCCAAGUGCAUGCACAUUGUGUAUGCUGUUCACUUGCCUAAAAAGCAUGUGAAGUAAGGGCUGGGUAAGACAGGUGCCAGCCGCCGCGGUAAUACCUGCAGCCCGAGUGGUGGUCAAUAUUAUUGAGCCUAAAGCGUCCGUAGCCUGGUCGGUAAAUCCUUGGGUAAAUCGGGCAGCUUAACUGUCCGACUUCCGAGGAGACUGCUGACCUUGGGACCGGGAGAGGUCUGAGGUACUCUAGGGGUAGGGGUAAAAUCCUGUAAUCCUUAGAGGACCACCAGUGGCGAAGGCGUCAGACUAGAACGGAUCCGACGGUAAGGGACGAAGCCCUGGGGCGCAAACGGGAUUAGAUACCCCGGUAGUCCAGGGUGUAAACGCUGCAGGCUUGGUGUCGGGGGUCCUACGAGGGCGUCCGGUGCCGGAGAGAAGUUGUUAAGCCUGCCGCUUGGGGAGUACGUUCGCAAGAAUGAAACUUAAAGGAAUUGGCGGGAGAGCACCGCAACGGGAGGAGCGUGCGGUUUAAUUGGAUUCAACGCCGGAAAACUCACCGGGAGCGACGAUUACAUGAAGGCCAAGCCGAUGACUUUGCCUGAUUAAUCGAGAGGUGUUGCAUGGCCGUCGUCAGUUCGUACCGUAGGGCGUUCUGUUAAGUCAGAUAACGAACGAGACCCUCGCCCUUAAUUGCCAGCCUGUUCUUCGGAGCAGAGGAACAUUAAGGGGACCGCUAGCGCUAAGCUGGAGGAAGGAGAGGUCAACGGUAGGUCAGUAUGGCCCGAAUCUCCCGGGCAACACGCGCGCUACAAAGGGUGGGACAAUGGGCUCCGACGCCGAAAGGCGAAGGCAAUCUCGAAACCCAUCCGUAGUUCGGAUUGAGGGCUGUAACCCGCCCUCAUGAAUGCUGGAUUCCGUAGUAAUCGCGGGUCAACAUCCCGCGGUGAAUGUGCCCCUGCUCUUUGCACACACCGCCCGUCAAACCACCCGAGUUGGGUCUUAGUGAGGAUGCUCAUUAUUGGGGCGUUCGAACUGAGGUUCAGCAAGGAGGGUUAAGUCGUAACAAGGUA